UUGAUCCUGGCUCAGAAUCAACGUAGGCGGCGUGCCUAACACAUGCAAGUCGAACGAGAAAGUGGAGCAAUCCAUGAGUAAAGUGGCGACCGGGUGAGUUACACGUGACUAACCUACCUUCGAGUGGGGGAUAACCUCGGGAAACCGGGUCUAAUACCGCAUAACAUCUUUGAAGUGGAAAUUUCGGAGAUCAAAGGAGUAAUUCGCUGGAAGAGGGGGUCGCGGCUGAUUAGCUAGUUGGCGGGGUAAUGGCCCACCAAGGCUUAGAUCGGUAGCCGGCCUGAGAGGGCGCACGGCCAUACUGGAACUGAAACACGGUCCAGACUCCUACGGGAGGCAGCAGUGGGGAUUUUUGCGCAAUGGGGGAAACCCUGACGCAGCAACGCCGCGUGGAGGAUGUAGUCCCUUGGGACGUAAACUCCUUUCGACCCGGACGAUAAUGACGGUACUGGUGGAAGAAGCCCCGGCUAACUUCGUGCCAGCAGCCGCGGUAAUAAGGU
rnacentral:rRNA from 1 species